GAUGAACGCUGGCGGCGUGCUUAACACAUGCAAGUCGAACGGAAAGGCCCAAGCUUGCUUGGGUACUCGAGUGGCGAACGGGGGAGUAACACGUGGGUGAUCUGCCCUGCACUUCGGGAUAAGUCUGGGAAACUGGGUCUAAUACCGGAUAGGACCACUUCUUGGAUGUUGUGGUGGAAAGUUUUUUCGGUGUGGGGUGAGCUCGCGGGCGAUCAGCUAGUUGGUGGGGUAAUGGCCUAGCAAGGCGUUGACGGGGAGCCGACCUGAGAGGGUGUAGGGCGACACUGGGAGUGAACCGCCGCCCUGAGUCUUAGGGACGGCACCGACAGCUAAUGGAGGCAGCUGGGCGGAAGCUUGCACGAGGGGCGCAGGGCUGGUGAAGAGAGGCUGCGGGGCGGAUAACGGCCUUCGGGGUGAAGACUACAUGUGCUAGGAACGAUGCGUUUUGUGACGGUACCUGAAGAAAAAGCACCGGCUAACUACGUG
rnacentral:rRNA from 1 species